AUUGAACGCUGGCGGCAGGCCUAACACAUGCAAGUCGAGCGGGGUCUUCGGACCUAGCGGCGGACGGGUGAGUAAUGCGUAGGAAGCUGCCCGAUAGAGGGGGAUACCAGUUGGAAACGACUGUUAAUACCGCAUAAUGUCUACGGACCAAAGUGUGGGACCUUCGGGCCACAUGCUAUCGGAUGCGCCUACGUGGGAUUAGCUAGUUGGUGAGGUAAUGGCUCACCAAGGCGGCGAUAUCUAGCUGGUUGGAGAGGAUGAUCAGCCACACUGGAACUGAGACACGGUCCAGACUCAUACGGGAGGCAGCAGUGGGGAAUAUUGGACAAUGGGCGCAAGCCUGAUCCAGCCAUGCCGCGUGUGUGAAGAAGGCCUUCGGGUUGUGAAGCACUUUCAGCGAGGAGGAAGGGGUGUGUGUUAAUAGUACACACCUUUGACGUUACUCGCAGAAGAAGCACCGGCUAACUCUGUGCCAGCCGCCGCGGUAAGAC
rnacentral:rRNA from 1 species